rnacentral:lncRNA from 1 species
AUUUAGUAUUUAAAUGUUUAUUUUAGGUUUGAUUUGGUUUAAAUAUAGUAGGAUAAAAGUAAAGAAUGAUAAUUUAACUGUUUUAGUAUUUAACUUUGAUGUUUUUAUAGUGUUUUAAGAAUAUUCAUUUAUUCAACUUUUCUUCAGUACCUUUUAUGUUAAAGUUCUCUUGAUUAAUGACAAGUUUAGGAUAUCAUUUGAUAUUCAGUCGGAGUCGGCCUUGCACAGGCCUCCAAAUACUCGCCGGAACUAAUAUUAGUACUAAUCGAGUCUAGAGUUAGCCACUACAUCGGUGCAGUUCGCCAGAGUUAGUCACCUCUUUUUGGUGCAAUUUUACUACUUUAAAACACAACGCGAA